rnacentral:rRNA from 1 species
CCUACGGGUGGCUGCAGUAGGGAAUAUUGGACAAUGGGUGCGAGCCUGAUCCAGCCAUGCCGCGUGCAGGAAGAAGGCGUUAUGCGUUGUAAACUGCUUUUGCCAGGGGAUAAAAUAACUGUGCGCAGUUGAUUGAAGGUACCUGGUGAAUAAGCCACGGCUAACUACGUGCCAGCAGCCGCGGUAAUACGUAGGUGGCAAGCGUUUUCUGGGUUUAUAGGGUUUAAAGGCGGCCCUGUAGGCCCUGGAUGAAAUAUGUCAGCUUAACUGAGAGGGUGCCAUUGAUACUGCGGGGCUUGAGUACAGAUGAGGUAGGCGGAAUUGACGGUGUAGCGGUGAAAUGCAUAGAUAUCGUCAAGAACACCGAUAGCGAAGGCAGCUUACCAAGCUGUAACUGACGCUGAGGCACGAAAGUGUGGGGAUCAAACAGGAUUAGAUACCCUAGUAGUC